rnacentral:rRNA from 1 species
GAUGAACGCUGGCGGCGUGCUUAACACAUGCAAGUCGAACGGGAUCCAUCAGGCUUUGCUUGGUGGUGAGAGUGGCGAACGGGUGAGUAAUGCGUGACCGACCUGCCCCAUACACCGGAAUAGCUCCUGGAAACGGGUGGUAAUGCCGGAUGCUCCAGUUGAUCGCAUGGUCUUCUGGGAAAGCUUUCGCGGUAUGGGAUGGGGUCGCGUCCUAUCAGCUUGACGGCGGGGUAACGGCCCACCGUGGCUUCGACGGGUAGCCGGCCUGAGAGGGCGACCGGCCACAUUGGGACUGAGAUACGGCCCAGACUCCUACGGGAGGCAGCAGUGGGGAAUAUUGCACAAUGGGCGCAAGCCUGAUGCAGCGACGCCGCGUGAGGGAUGGAGGCCUUCGGGUUGUAAACCUCUUUUAUCGGGGAGCAAGCGAGAGUGAGUUUACCCGUUGAAUAAGCACCGGCUAA